rnacentral:rRNA from 1 species
AUCAACGCUGGCGGCGUGCCUAACACAUGCAAGUCGAACGCGAAAGGGGAGCAAUCCCUGAGUAGAGUGGCGAACGGGUGAGUAGACACGUGGGUGACCUGCCCUCGAGUGGGGGAUAACAUCCCGAAAGGGGUGUGCUAAUACCGCAUGACAUCCUGUCUUUGAACAGCAUGGACAUUAAAGCCGGGGAUCGCAAGACCUGGCGCUCGAGGAGGGGCCCGCGCCCGAUAGCUAGUUGGUGAGGGUAACGGCUCACCAAGACGACGAUCGUAUCCGGCCUGAGAGGGCGGACGGACACACUGGGACUGAGACACGGCCCAGACUCCUACGGGAGGCAGCAGUGGAGAUUGUUCGCAAUGGGCGAAAGCCUGACGACGCAACGCCGCGUGAGGAUGAAGAUCUUCGGGUCGUAAACUCCUUUCGAUCGGGACGAAUGAUCGGUGACUCUAACACGUCAUCGGAAUGACGGUACCGAGAGAAGAAGCCCCGGCUAACUCCGUGCCAGCAGCCGCGGUAAUACGGGGGGGGCAGCUAUUGUUCGGAAUUACUGGGCGGUAAGGGCGCGUAGGCGGCCUUCUAAGUCGGACGUGAAAUCCCUCGGCUUAACCGAGGAACUGCGUCCGAUCGGGAAGGCUGAAUCCGAGGAGGGAUGUGGAAUUCCAGGUGUAGCGGUGAAAUGCGUAGAUAUCUGGAGGAACACCGGUGGCGAAGGCGGCAUCUGGACCGGUAUUGACGCGUGAGGCGCGAAAGCUAGGGGGAGCAAACGGGAUUAGAUACCCCGGUAGUCCUAGCCCUAAACGAUGAGUGCUUGGUGUGGCGGGUACGACCCUGCCGUGCCGAAGCUAACGCAUUAGCACUCCGCCUGGGAGUACGGUCGCAAAGGCUGAAAACUCAAGGAAUUGACGGGGGCCCGCACAAGCGGUGGAGCAUGUGGUUCAAUUUCGACGCAACGCGAAGAAACCUUACCCAGGCUCGAACGGCGAGUGACAUCCGGCGAAAGUCGGCUUCCGCAAGGACACUUGUCGAGGUGCUUGCAUGGCUGUCGUCAGCUCGUGUCUGGAGAUGUUGGGUUAAGUCCCGCAACGAGCGCAACCCUUGUCCUCUGUUGCCAUCACGUUAUGGUGGCACUCUGAGGAGACUGCCGGUGACAAGCCGGAGGAAGGUGGGGAUGACGUCAAGUCCGCAUGGCCUUUAUGUCUGGGGCCACACACGUGCUACAAUGGCCGACACAAACCGUCGCGAUACCGCCAAGGUGGAGCUAUCGGACAAAGUCGGGUCUCAGUUCGGAUUGGCAGGCUGCAACUCGCCUGCAUGAAGUUGGAAUCGCUAGUAAUCGCGGAUCAGCACGCCGCGGUGAAUACGUUCCCGGGCCUCGUACACCGCCCGUCACAUCACGAAAGCUGGCUGUACUAGAAGUCGCUGCGCUAACCCGCAAGGGAGGCAGGCGCCUAAGGUAUGGUUAGUGAUUGGGGUG